GCCAUCCAAUUUCUCUCUCUCUCUCUCUCUCUCUCUCUCUCUCUCUCGUGUGUGUGUGUGUGUGUGUGAGAGAGAGUGAGAGAGAGUGAGAGAGAGUGAGAGUGAGUGUCUGUGUCA
rnacentral:miRNA from 1 species